UACGUAGGGGGCAAGCGUUGUCCGGAAUCAUUGGGCGUAAAGAGCGUGUAGGCGGCCCGAUAAGUCCGCUGUGAAAGUCCAGGGCUCAACCCUGGAAUGCCAGUGGAAACUGUCGGGCUAGAGUCCGGAAGAGGCGAGUGGAAUUCCUGGUGUAGCGGUGAAAUGCGCAGAUAUCAGGAGGAACACCGAUGGCGAAGGCAGCUCGCUGGGACGGUACUGACGCUGAGACGCGAAAGCUUGGGGAGCAAACAGG
rnacentral:rRNA from 1 species